CCUACGGGUGGCAGCAGUGGGGAAUAUUGGACAAUGGGCGAAAGCCUGAUCCAGCCAUGCCGCGUGUGUGAAGAAGGCCUUCGGGUUGUAAAGCACUUUCAGUGGGGAAGAAAGCCUUGGGGCUAAUACCCUCGAGGAAGGACAUCACCCACAGAAGAAGCACCGGCUAACUCCGUGCCAGCAGCCGCGGUAAUACGGAGGGUGCGAGCGUUAAUCGGAAUUACUGGGCGUAAAGCGCGCGUAGGCGGUCUGAUAAGCCGGUUGUGAAAGCCCCGGGCUCAAUCUGGGAACGGCAUCCGGAACUGUCAGGCUAGAGUGCAGGAGAGGAAGGUAGAAUUCCCGGUGUAGCGGUGAAAUGCGUAGAGAUCGGGAGGAAUACCAGUGGCGAAGGCGGCCUUCUGGACUGACACUGACGCUGAGGUGCGAAAGCGUGGGUAGCAAACAGGAUUAGAUACCCUGGUAGUC
rnacentral:rRNA from 1 species